rnacentral:lncRNA from 1 species
CCCACAGGAACAGCGUCGAAAAGCUGUAAUACGAUCACAACUUACAAACGUCAUGCUUUCAUGAAGCUAUCUGACUUAGCGCUACAUACUGUAAUCUGUAUAUUCAUGCCUUGUAGAUAACGAAAAAGUACAAAACAAAUAAAUAUCAACCUUUUGAAAAUGACAGAGUACUUUGUUUGCGUGGGAACAAUUGCGCUGUGGAGUCUGAGAGUGUUAGCGUCGUGCCUCGCGUCAUGCCUCGUGUCAAAGAUUUUUCGAGGCUGGUUUCCAUAUAGAUAUUUUCUGCGUGAUUAAGUGUUUUCACUGUUUUGUUUCCUGAGUUAUGUUAUCUGAUAAUUAGGAAGCGCGAAAAGGGUUAUUCAUAAUAAUAUUAAUAAAUGUUCUCUGAUCGUAAAACAUUUAUUUAAUAUUUUAUGAUGUGGCCGGAGCCGGAGCUCAGAGCUGUAAUUCGGCCGGAGCCGGAGAUGAAAAACCGGAGUUUGCACAGCACUAAUUACAAUAUACAUGCACAGUAGUCAGUAUUAUGGAUCUCACCCAAAUGUGGGAACCAUCAAAAGAUUCGUACAUAUAUGCCAUAUGGCUCCGAAAGUUUACAAUUCUAAUUUUAAAGAGCAAUCAACUUGUGAUAGCAAUAGCAGGCGCGGUUGUUAACGUGAACGCAAUACAAAUAAUUUCUAAUACAUUACCACAGUUCGGUGAGAUGUGAGACAAUACACACAUUCCAUCAAUAACAUUAACUUGGGUUAGCAUAUGUCAACAAAACUCUCAAAAAGUGUAAAAUUACUGUAGUACUAAUAUUCAUGAGUCAUGACAAGUCAUUGAAGAGGGCUGUGACCCUCAUUGGCAGUUGUAUGCCAUUUUCUGUGUUGCCCAUGCACUACUAUAGUCUGCAAGGCAGACAAGAUGCUCUUCGUGUGGCAGUACUCUCAAUAUUGAAGAUGUAAAAACUUGCCAAUAAGGCGAUAAUUGCAUCAAAACAACUGUUGCUUGUUGCUUGUUAACUUUCAUCCUUUCCCUCGAUAACGUAUGAUUGACAGUUUCUAGUCGUAUUCUAAUUCGCUGCCAACGGCCACAAUAUGGGUUGUGAUAAGUUUGAAAUUGUAUCAUUUGCAUCUUCGGACUCCUACAAAAAAAAUACAAUUAGAAUGUAUGCAAUAAUCCGCAAUUACAGAGGGUUAUAGGACACAUAAGAUAUAAGGUCUCACCAAGAAACCCAAUAAUAAAGCUCUUACAUACAUCAGACACAAAAUACCUGAAAAAGUAUAUCACACCCGACUCCUAUAAGUAUAACAUACCAAUAUACAGUAAUAUUUUGAAAUAUCAAAAUAUAUGCUGCCUCGCAACAAACUCUCCUAAAAAUAAGCUCACUAUAAGCACACAAAUAUUAUUCAAAUUUACAGUAUACUGCAUCAUAAGAAAAAUAAAUACAAAAUUGGAAACAUGAAUUUCCAUAGCCUGGUACAAGUGAUUCAGGGAGACUGCAUAAAAACAUAAUACAUGACAUACAUAUAACUAUACGAUCUUAUUUAACCCAUUAAGCACUAGGGCUCUCCCCUUUACGAGUAGAAUAGGCGUUCGACAGAGUAGAGUAAUAAAGUUCAAAAUCAUUUUGUUUGAAUUACUUCACCUAUCUAUUUGUUUAAAAUUAUGUAUGGUAGAUUCUGUGGUAUGAACACUUGCAAAAUUAUUCAAAAAAAUUUAAAAUAUAAUGUGACAUUAUGUUGCCUUGACAACACUUGACACAACGUGAGCCUGUGUUCAGUGCUGGCCAAUUGCUAAUAGUUCAUGUUAAAUCAAUGUUUGAAAAAUAUAGGCUAGGGGUUGCUGCAUGCAUUUAUUUCUAGUUAAAUAUUAAUUGGACAUACUCAUGUCACUAGUGGUAUUCAUUAUAUCUUGGUCAGACAAAACAAAUUCCAUAUUUAAGAAGUUUCAAGUUUGGCAACCCACAGGUUAAAAUAGACAUCUUGUGAAUUAUAUCACAAACGAUUAAUAAAUUUUUGCUGCAGCAAGCACAGAUUCACCAGAAACAUGUAACCUCAUGAGUUUACACACCCCAAAACAACACUUUCCUAAAAUGACAGCUUUCCUUCAUCAUUUAAUUUUAUAACUGGACUUAGCUGAUCUGUUCUUAUAGUUUUUAUAUUUUUAGACUUUUCGUUAUUCAAGUUUGAAACGAGACCAAGAUUGGUAGCGUUUAAUUUUGACAAUUUAAGAGAAUGUAGUUCUGCAUUACUGUUUUUCUCUGUAUCUCAUCCUUAAUAAGC